CUCCCCAAGCUGGGCGUCAGGACCAACCCCGCCGCCCCCACGGGCCUGACGGGAGAGGAGGAAGGGCUCGGGACGGUCGGCUCGCCGAGCCAACCAGGUGGCGCCUGAAGAGCUGUCCAUGGUGUCGACAGCCCAGCAAACGGCACCGAGUUCCUAGUCUGAGUGUCUGGAUAGGUAGCAGAAGAAAAACUAAUGCCUGCUCUGGGACAGUUCUGUUCGGUGCCUUUUCUUGUGUGUUCUGGAGCUCACAGGGUUCUAUCGAAGAGUGCUUAGGUGUAUACGAUGGAGAGUGGGACGUCACAAACCAGGAUCUCAAGGCUGAGUCCAACAAAACAUGGCCGUAGGGAGGCCACGACAGCUGUGGUUGUCACCGACGGAUGAAUAGCUUUUGCCAACCGUGGAAUUUAGUAACUAAAGGCACCUAACCCUUUUAUCUCAUCCUCAUUUUUCAACAAAUGGUGCUUCCUGGCUAAUAUCAGCGUGUCCCAUAGAUUUCUGCUUCCAUUGAAUAGACCUAAUAAGAAAGAGAAUGAAGUCAAAGCCAACAGGGCAGAAAGAAAUUGAAAACCUGAAGAACCCAGCACUCAAACUGUCUCCACUUGCGUUUGCUUUUUCUUUACCUCUUCUCCUUCUGGUUUUCAACAGCCAAAGCAGGAUUUAAAUUUGGUUAUGUUGCAAAAAUCAUUUCCCUCUUCAGGCCCUGUCAUGUGACUUGAUUUUUUCGUCCAUUUUAGAGAAGCUGUACCCACCCUGGUUUCAGGACACGGAACUAAAUUUAUUAGAAAAGAAGCCACUUCAAGUCAUGAAGGAGAAACACAAAGAUUCUUGGAUUUAGUUCUAAGAACUAGAGGGGAUUUCUAUGUCAGUACUGUCUCAGAAAAAACUGUUGAUAUCAAAUGUGUUGCUUGAGAAGUACCUUUUUUUUUUUGAGACGGAGUCUCGCUCUGUCCGCCCAGGCUAGAGUGCAGUGGCGCGAUCUCGGCUCACUGCAAGCUCCGCCUCCCGGGUUCACGCCGUUCUCCUGCCUCAGCCUCCCGAGUAGCUGGGAUUACAGGUGCCCACCACCACGCCCGGCUAAUUUUUGUAUUUUUAGUAGAGACAGGGUUUCACCGUGUUAGCCAGGAUGGUCUCGAUCUCCUGACCUCGUGAUCCACCCGCCUCGGCCUCCCAAAGUGCUGGGAUAACAGGCGUGAGCCAUCGCGCCCGGCCGAGAGGUACCUUUUAUGACAACUGAAAUCAUUCAGUUUCAAGAGGAGUUGGGUACUGAAACCAAACUUGCUUACUCCAAAGCCCAAAAUCCUUUCCACCAUGCCUGUGUGUCUGUAAGGCUACACUAGAAAUGCUUCCUUUCUUAUAGUGGGAAGCAUGGGUACUAAGCUCUUUUACGAACAAGUGUUCUGCAUAUUCCUGGUUCCUUUUUAUUUUGGACUGAGGAGAUUUAGGUCAAAAUUUCUGGGUUCUGGGUUGGAAUUCCAGCUUCUUUCUUCAAAUUAAACUGGGGGGUAGCAAGACUUAUUCCUAGAUUUGUUAGAAGGCCACAGCUUUUCCACAUCUCAUUUUAGUCAUGAAAAAGACACAUGCCCAGAGUUUGAAAAACAUAAAGGCAAUUUGACUAGUGGCUUGAUUGGUUCUAUCUUCUUUUUCUUGUCCCUCUUUCCUAUUUAUACUUCUACUUUUGUUACAGCAUUUGACAAUAGUUGGAAAAAUUUUCACUGACCUUGAAAUGUCUUUGGGAUAGGGUGACUUAAAAUAUAGGUUAAGUGGCAUACACAAACUUCUUAGUGAGAUCCUAAGGGCCUACAGAGACAGGCUGACACCAACUCAACCCUUGAAACUGUGCAAUGAAGAGCCUGUGGGAGGCUAAAAAACGCUACUUCAAAAAGAGAUCCUUGUCUGUGAAUGUUAAUUUAGGUUUACAGAUUUGAUUAAGGGUCUUGAGAUUAUUUUCAAUUAUCCAGGUGGGCCCUAGAGCCCUAGAUGCAAUCAUAAGUGUCCUUAUAACAGGGAGGCAGAGGAAAAUUAAACACGCACACAGGAGAGAGAGAGAGAGAAAAAAAAGUGAUGUGAAGACAGCAGCAGAGAUUGGAGCGAUGUGGCCAUAGCCAAGCUAUGUCAGCAGCCAUCAGAAGUUGGAAGAGGCAAGGAAGGAUUUGAGCCUAGAGCCUUUGGAAGGAGCAUGGCCCUGUUGGUUCUGGCCUCCAGAACUGCAAGAAAAUACAUUUUUGUUGUUUUAAACCACCCAGUUCAUGGUAAUUUGUAACACCAGCUACAAGAAAUUAACACAAGGCUGAUGUGACUUUCCAUCAGGAGAGAGACAGCCCCAGGUGAGACCUGCCUGCCUCAUUGUCUGACAGCUUUCCCAGCCUCCUCCAGGCUCCCCUCCGUUUUCUCUUAUACGCAUUCCCCCAAUAAACUUCCUGUACAUUUAAUACCAUCUCAGUGUCUGCUCCCAGGAGGACCCUAACUGACACACUGGGGCAUUUAGCCUCCAAUUCCUUUUCUCCCUUGGCUGAGAUCUGUUCCAGGAAGUAUCUCCAGGACACUCCAGCCUGUUGCACAGGCCAAAGAAAAGCCCUCAGGCAGAGGAGCAAAUACUUGCAAGAGGACACCAGUGGCAAGAACAGGGACAUGCCACCCUGUGAAGACGUGCCUUUCGUCAAGAUUGUAAGUUUCCUGAGGCCUUCCCACCCAUGCGGAACUAGUUUUAUUUGAGAAAAUGCCAUACCACUGAAGAAAAUUGCCUAACAGCUGGAAAGAAGAAAAAAAAUAGGAAAAAAUCUUCCUGUGACUUCCUACAACUUUUGGGAUAAGGACCAAAGUAUUUCAAAUGACCUACAAGAUCCUCUAUCAUCUGGACUAUGGACUUACUUGCUCACUCCAGCUGUCCUAUGCUUUCUUCAGCGCCUCCAGUGUAGCCUGCUCUCUUUCACCUCAGGGCUAACUUCUAUUUUUUCUCCAGGUCGAAUGAUCUAAAUAUCACUUCCUCAGGGUGGAAGGAAAUCUUCUGGGACUAGCUAGUCAAGGUCUCUGUGCCCCUUGUCAUAUGUUCCACAUUACCUUGAAUGUCCCCUUUCAUAACUCAUCACACCUGAGAUUACCUAUUUGUUGUCAACUGUGCUGGACUGUGAACUCCACAAAGAUUCCACUUCUAGCUUACUCAGUGCUAUAUCCCCGAACCUCAGAAGAGUAUCUGCUACAGCAGUACUCCUUAUCUGUGGUUUCAGUCAGCUGUGGCACAGUACAAUAACAUAUUUUGAGAGAGAAACUACAUUCAUAUAACCUUUACCACAGUAUAUUAUUAAUAACUGUUCUAUUAUUAGUUAUUGUUAAUCUCUUACUGUGCCUAAUUUAUAAGUUAAACUUUAUCAUAGGUAUGUAUGUAGAGGAAAAAACAGUAUAUAUAGGGUUCGGUACUAUCUGUGGUUUCAGGUAGCCACUGGGCAUCUUAGAACAUAUACCCCAUGGAUACAGGGAGGACUACUGUAGUCUACUUGCUGAAAAAAUUAAUUGUGGCUUAGUCAGGCAUUUCGUUGAGUACGAUGGACCUUACUUUGGAACUCAGAAAUCACUUUCUCCUGUGAAAAUAUCAAACUUGAAUGAACUUUUGGAAUAAAAUACUUUGUAAAAUGGAGAUUUUGGGUAUAGAUAUAAAUAGAUCUAAGCCUAUGGAGUUAAUAAAAAACAAAAC
ensembl:lncRNA PAXBP1-AS1 PAXBP1 antisense RNA 1